UACGUAGGUGGCAAGCGUUAUCCGGAUUUAUUGGGCGUAAAGCGCGCGCAGGCGGUUUCUUAAGUCUGAUGUGAAAGCCCACGGCUUAACCGUGGAGGGUCAUUGGAAACUGGGAAACUUGAGUGCAGAAGAGGAGAGUGGAAUUCCAUGUGUAGCGGUGAAAUGCGUAGAGAUAUGGAGGAACACCAGUGGCGAAGGCGACUCUCUGGUCUGCAACUGACGCUGAGGCGCGAAAGCGUGGGGAGCGAAC
rnacentral:rRNA from 1 species